UAUGGUCAAAUUAUCCUGUAAACACUAGUUCUCAUUCAAUCACCAAAGUUAAGCAGCAUCGAGUCAAGUCAGUACUUAGAUAGGAGACCACUUGAGAAUACUAGUUACUGUAA